rnacentral:rRNA from 1 species
UACGAAGGGGGCUAGCGUUGUUCGGAAUCACUGGGCGUAAAGCGCACGUAGGCGGAUCGUUAAGUCGGGGGUGAAAUCCCGAGGCUCAACCUCAGAACUGCCUUCGAUACUGGCGAUCUUUGAGUCCGGGAGAGGUGAGUGGAACUCCGAGUGUAGAGGUGAAAUUCGUAGAUAUUCGGAAGAACACCAGUGGCGAAGGCGGCUCACUGGCCCGGUACUGACGCUGAGGUGCGAAAGCGUGGGGAGCAAACAGG